CCUACGGGAGGCAGCAGUGGGGAAUAUUGCACAAUGGGGGAAACCCUGAUGCAGCGACGCCGCGUGAGUGAGGAAGUAAUUCGGUAUGUAAAGCUCUAUCAGCAGGGAAGAAAAUGACGGUACCUGAGUAAGAAGCCCCGGCUAACUACGUGCCAGCAGCCGCGGUAAUACGUAGGGGGCAAGCGUUAUCCGGAUUUACUGGGUGUAAAGGGAGCGUAGACGGCAGUGCAAGUCUGGAGUGAAAGGCGGGGGCUCAACCCCCGGACUGCUGUGGAAACUGUACGGCUGGAGUGCAGGAGAGGUAAGUGGAAUGCCUAGUGUAGCGGUGAAAUGCGUAGAUAUUAGGAGGAACACCAGUGGCGAAGGCGGCUUACUGGACUGUAACUGACGUUGAGGCUCGAAAGCGUGGGGAGCAAACAGGAUUAGAUACCCCAGUAGUC
rnacentral:rRNA from 1 species